rnacentral:tRNA from 1 species
GAGAAUUAUGCCAGCGGAAAAGCUUCUAACUUAUUUCACAAGCGGUUGAAUUCCGUUAACUUCUCU